rnacentral:rRNA from 1 species
CCCUUAGAUGUUCUGGGCCGCACGCGCGCUACACUGAUGCAUUCAACGAGCCUAUCCUUGACCGACAGGUCCGGGUAAUCUUUGAAUCUGCAUCGUGACGGGGAUAGAUUAUUGCAAUUAUUAAUCUUCAACGAGGAAUGCCUAGUAGGCGCAAGUCAUCAGCUUGCGGCGAUUACGUCCCUGCCCUUUGUACACACCGCCCGUCGCUCCUACCGAUUGGGUGUGCUGGUGAAAUGUUCGGAUCGGCCGUUUGUCGCGGUUUCCGCGUCAUGUGGCUGAGAAGUUCAUUAAACCCUCCCACCUAGAGGAAGGAGAAGUCGUAACA